rnacentral:rRNA from 1 species
UUCUGUCGGUGAACCAGCGGGGGAUCAUUAC